AAAAAAGUUAGCUGACUUAAAGUUAGUGGAACCAAAUUUAACGGAAGCUAACUGGUCCGCUAGUGGUUUUCGAAGUGGUCUGAAAAGCCAAUC